AGUGAACGCUGGCGGUAGGCCUAACACAUGCAAGUCGAACGGCAGCACAGGAGAGCUUGCCCUCUAGGUGGCGAGUGGCGGACGGGUGAGGAAUACAUCGGAAUCUGCCCAGUCGUGGGGGAUAACGUAGGGAAACUUACGCUAAUACCGCAUACGACCUUCGGGUGAAAGAGGGGGAUCGCAAGACCUCUCGCGAUUGGAUGAGCCGAUGUCGGAUUAGCUAGUUAGCGGGGUAAUGGCCCACCAAGGCGACGAUCCGUAGCUGGUCUGAGAGGAUGAUCAGCCACACUGGAACUGAGACACGGUCCAGACUCCUACGGGAGGCAGCAGUGGGGAAUAUUGGACAAUGGGCGCAAGCCUGAUCCAGCCAUACCGCGUGGGUGAAGAAGGCCUUCGGGUUGUAAAGCCCUUUUGUUGGGAAAGAAAUCUUUCAGGCUAAUACCCUGGGAGGAUGACGGUACCCAAAGAAUAAGCACCGGCUAACUUCGU
rnacentral:rRNA from 1 species